ACGAACGCUGGCGGCAUGCCUAACACAUGCCGGUCGAACGAGACCUUCGGGUCUAGUGGCGCACGGGUGCGUCACGCGUGGGAAUCUACCCUCAGGUUCGGAAUAACUCAGAGAAAUUUGAGCUAAUACCGGAUGAUGACGUAAGUCCAAAGAUUUAUCGCCUGAGGAUGAGCCCGCGUAGGAUUAGGUAGUUGGUGAGGUAAAGGCUCACCAAGCCGACGAUCCUUAGCUGGUCUGAGAGGAUGAUCAGCCACACUGGGACUGAGACACGGCCCAGACUCCUACGGGAGGCAGCAGUGGGGAAUAUUGGACAAUGGGCGAAAGCCUGAUCCAGCAAUGCCGCGUGAGUGAUGAAGGCCUUAGGGUUGUAAAGCUCUUUUACCCGGGAUGAUAAUGACAGUACCGGGAGAAUAAGCUCCGGCUAACUCCGUG
rnacentral:rRNA from 1 species